UGAUCACGACUGCCUCAGGUUUCAAGUUC
rnacentral:piRNA from 1 species